ACAUGGGCACGCAGACACUAGGGACACUGGGAGACAUGGGGACACUGAGACACUAGGGACACUGAGACACUUGGGGACAUUGUGUCCCUAAUAUCUCAGUGUCCCCAUGUCUCCCAGUAUCCCCAAGUGUCUGUGUCUCCAUGUC